AGAGUUUGAUCCUGGCUCAGAUUGAACGCUGGCGGCAGGCCUCACACAUGCAGUCGAGCGGAUGACGGGAGCUUGCUCCUUGAUUCAGCGGCGGACGGGUGAGUAAUGCCUAGGAAUCUGCCUGGUAGUGGGGGACAACGUUUCGAAAGGAACGCUAAUACCGCAUACGUCCUACGGGAGAAAGCAGGGGACCUUCKGGCCUUGCGCUAUCAGAUGAGCCUAGGUCGGAUUAGCUAGUUGGUGGGGUAAUGGCUCACCAAGGCGACGAUCCGUAACUGGUCUGAGAGGAUGAUCAGUCACACUGGAACUGAGACACGGUCCAGACUCCUACGGGAGGCAGCAGUGGGGAAUAUUGGACAAUGGGCGAAAGCCUGAUCCAGCCAUGCCGCGUGUGUGAAGAAGGUCUUCGGAUUGUAAAGCACUUUAAGUUGGGAGGAAGGGCAGUAAGUAAUACCUUGCUGUUUUGACGUUACCGACAGAAUAAGCACCGGCUAACUCUGUGCCAGCAGCCGCGGUAAUACAGAGGGUGCAAGCGUUAAUCGGAAUUACUGGGCGUAAAGCGCGCGUAGGUGGUUUGUUAAGUUGGAUGUGAAAGCCCCGGGCUCAACCUGGGAACUGCAUCCAAGACUGGCAAGCUAGAG
rnacentral:rRNA from 1 species